CAUAGCCCCUUGAAGCUUAAUAAGGGGUUACGCCUGCCCAAUGGAGUAAAAUCUAAAUGGCCGCGGUAUCUUGACCGUGCGAAGGUAGCAUAAUCACUUGUCUCUUAAAUAGGGACCUGUAUGAAUGGCAUCACAUUUUCUAGCUGUCUCCUUUCUUUUCCUUUUAAACUUCUAUUAAUGUGAAGAAGCAUUAAUAAAAUAGAAAGACGAGAAGACCCUGUCGAGCUUAAACUUCUAAAAGAAAUCAAACUCUUCCAAAGAAAUCCAUCUUUAAAGAAGUUUUGGUUGGGGCAACCAUGGAGAAAAACUAACCUCCUGAAUUAAUUAAAAAGAACUUUCUUCAAUUAAAUAAAAACAUGACCCAGAAAUUCUGGUAAACAGAAAUAGUUACCGCAGGGAUAACAGCGUAAUCUCCUUUAAGAGUUCACAUUGACAAGGAGGAUUGCGACCUCGAUGUUGGAUUAGGGCUACCAAAAAGUGCAGAAGCUUUUUAGGUUGGACUGUUCGUCCAUUAAUCCCCCACGUGAUC
rnacentral:rRNA from 1 species